rnacentral:misc_RNA from 1 species
GGACUACAGGGGUAUCUAAUCCUGUUGGCUCCCCAUGCUCUCGUGCCUCAGUGUCAAUCAAGUCGUAGUAGCCUGCCUUCGCAAUCGGGGUUCUGGGUCAUAUCUAUGCAUUUCACCGCUACAUGACCCGUUCCAGCUACCGCCAACCCAUUCAAGUCCUCCAGUUUCCAGCCACAUCUGAUCGUUAAGCGACCAGCUUUCAAACCAGACUUAGAAGACCACCUACGCACCCUUUAAACCCAAUAAAUCCGGACAACGCUUGCACCCUCCGUAUUACCGCGGCGGCUGGCAC